GCUCAGAACGAACGCUGGCGGCGUGCCUAACACAUGCAAGUCGAACGUGAAAGGGCUUCGGCCUGAGUAAAGUGGCAAACGGGUGAGUAACGCGUGGGUGAUCUGCCUCUGAGUGGGGGAUAACGUUCCGAAAGGGACGCUAAUACCGCAUGACAUCCUGUUCUUGGAUGAAUGGUGAUCGAAGCUGGGGACCGCAAGGCCUGGCGCUUGGAGAGGAGCCCGCGUCCGAUUAGCUAGUUGGUGGGGUAACGGCCUACCAAGGCGACGAUCGGUAGCCGGCCUGAGAGGGCGGACGGCCACACUGGGACUGAGACACGGCCCAGACUCCUACGGGAGGCAGCAGUGGGGAAUUGUUCGCAAUGGGCGCAAGCCUGACGACGCAACGCCGCGUGGGGGAUGAAGGUCUUCGGAUUGUAAACCCCUGUUGGGUGGGACGAACAUCUUUCUGGUGAACAGCCAGGGAGACUGACGGUACCACCUGAGGAAGCCCCGGCUAACUCUGUGCCAGCAGCCGCGGUAAUACAGAGGGGGCAAGCGUUGUUCGGAAUUACUGGGCGUAAAGGGCGCGUAGGCGGCCUGUUAAGUCAGACGUGAAAUCCCUCGGCUCAACCGGGGAACUGCGUCUGAUACUGGCGGGCUUGAAUUCGGGAGAGGGAUGUGGAAUUCCAGGUGUAGCGGUGAAAUGCGUAGAUAUCUGGAGGAACACCGGUGGCGAAGGCGGCAUCCUGGACCGACAUUGACGCUGAGGCGCGAAAGCCAGGGGAGCAAACGGGAUUAGAUACCCCGGUAGUCCUGGCCCUAAACGAUGAGUGCUUGGUGUGGCGGGUAUCGAUCCCUGCCGUGCCGAAGCUAACGCAUUAAGCACUCCGCCUGGGGAGUACGGUCGCAAGGCUGAAACU
rnacentral:rRNA from 1 species